rnacentral:lncRNA from 1 species
AAAAGACUAAACUACUAGUGUACCAAAUACUAACUCGAUUUAAGAUAUAGAUAAGGACCGUUUGUUUCUAUAUACUUACUCUAAUAACAAGUUUAAAUAUGUGCCACAUUCUUUUUUGCUCUAUAGUUUAAUGGUGAAGGCUCGAGACCCAUAUUAUUUAUUUUUUGUGCAAAAAAAUACGAUAAUGCUGAAAGUUAUAGUGCUACUAAC